rnacentral:snRNA from 1 species
CCAGUAUCCUGCCCGGGGAAGUACCAUGAUCACCAUGGUGGUUUUCCCAAGGUGAGGCUCACCCCUUGCACUCCCGGUGUGCUGACACCUGCAAUUUCCCCAAAUGUGGGAAACUCAGUUGCAUAAUUUGUGGUCAUGGGUGGCUACAUUUCCACUUGCCCCUA